rnacentral:rRNA from 1 species
CGGCGAGCGAAGCGGGAAGAGCUCAAAUUUGUAAUCUGGCGUCCUCAGGGCGUCCGAGUUGUAAUCUAUAGAGACGUUUUCCGUGCCGGACCGUGUCCAAGUCCCUUGGAACAGGGUAUCAAAGAGGGUGACAAUCCCGUACUUGACACGACGACCGGUGCUCUGUGAUACGUUUUCUACGAGUCGAGUUGUUUGGGAAUGCAGCUCAAAAUGGGUGGUAAAUUCCAUCUAAAGCUAAAUAUAGGCGAGAGACCGAUAGCGAACAAGUACCGUGAGGGAAAGAUGAAAAGCACUUUGGAAAGAGAGUUAAACAGUAUGUGAAAUUGUUGAAAGGGAAACGAUUGAAGUCAGUCAUGUCCAUUGGAUUCAGCUGGUUCUGCCAGUGUAUUUCCUUUGGACGGGUCAACAUCAGUUUGAGCCGGCGGAUAAUGGCAGAGGGAAUGUGGCACCCCCGGGUGUGUUAUAGCCCUUUGUCGCAUACGUCGGCCCAGACUGAGGAAUGCAGCUCGCCUUUAUGGCCGGGGUUCGCCCACGUACGAGCUUAGGAUGUUGGCAUAAU